GUUAGUGAGUGACAUUCAGAUCAAACACAUCCAAAGGGACCCUCAAAUCCUCUUCUUGAUUGGGCGUGGACAAUCAGAAAAUAAGCAUCUAGCUGAAGAGAGGCGAGAUCAAGAAUGUAGGGGCUGCUUGGGCGGUUGACACACAUCCUGUUUAUGGCAGCAUCCAGAGAUGGUGCUGGUGCUGCCAGGAGAGCAACGUGUCCUGCAGAUGGCGUACUAUUGCCCUGCACGAUGGAAUUGGGUCCACAAGGCAAGGAAGGUGGUAGAGCAAGAUUUUAACCUGGGAUCCAUGUAUUCGCCAGACUCACCACGGUCUCCUCAGCUUAGGGUCUGUGAGCCCCUGAAACUGGAUCCAGGCCCAGCUGCCCUCCC
rnacentral:lncRNA from 1 species